AAGGGAAGGGGGAGGAGAUUUUCUGGCGUGUGUUGAUUUAACUUCAGGUUUUUUUCCUGCCUUGGUUUGGGGUGUUUGUUUUGUUAAAGAUCCUCGGAGCAGGGAAACAUGGCAUAAAUAUUGUGCUGAAGAUACAUGAAAAACUACAGACAUCUCAGAAAAGGAAUUCAAGAUCAAAUCCUGGCAACAUUUUUACUGAAAAUCAGUCCAACUACAGCCUUUCAAAGGUACUUGCCAGAACACAAAGAUUCAUAAUAAACUGAUUCUACAGAUGGUAGAUCUAUGAUGUUUAUGUCUCAAAUUAUUGUACUUCUUUUAACUUAAUUUGCAUGGUGUUUAGAACUGUAUUACUUAAAUGCUCUAAAACAAAGGAGCCCCUGACCAAAGCCGUAAAAUCUGGAUGAAAAGAGAGGAAUGAGGAAUCAUGAGGAAAUUUUGUCUACCCUACCAAAAUUUAUUUUUGAAAUAUGCUGUGACUAAGUAGAAUACUGAAAUAAAUAAUUUAGUAGGGGCAGCCUCCUCAAAUCCCAUUUUAUUUCAGAGAGACUACUUUUCAAAUUAACUCGGUGAUUACAAAACCAUAGUACAAUUGUGAUCUUUAUAUUGUCAUCUUUCUGAUAAAUGCCUCCCCCCAAGGUCUGCGAAUUACUGUUCCCAAUAAUGGAUGCUAGCUAUGCCGAAAACUCGGGAUGUUUCUUUCCUAAUAUCAGAGUGAGAGUGAGAAAUCAAGAAAACACAUUCUGACUGACAGGAAAGAACUCAUGUACUUCUUUUUACAACAAUGUUCUUUAUUUAUUGACUACUCUUUCCUUUCCCUGGAUUUGAAGCAAACAAUUUUCCGUCCCCACAGUUCAUUGCUAUGAGUUGCUGCGAGUACCUACAGAUGUUUAAUAUGAUGGGGUGCUUAUUGAUAAAUCUGUUGA